GGUGGUUCAGUGGUAGAAUGCUCGCCUGCCACGCGGGCGGCCCGGGUUCGAUUCCUGGAAUACCG
rnacentral:tRNA from 1 species